GGUCCCCACGCCUAGAAGACAGCGGAACUAAGAAAAGAAGAGGCCUGUGGACAGAACAAUCAUGGUUCGUGGUUUACAGCUACAAGUACGUGCAUGACGAUGGCCGAGUGUCCUACCCUUUGUGUUUCAUCUUCUCCAGCCCUGUGGGCUGCAAGCCGGAACAACAGAUGAUGUAUGCAGGGAGUAAAAACAGGCUGGUGCAGACAGCAGAGCUCACAAAGGUGUUCGAAAUCCGCACCACUGAUGACCUCACUGAGGCCUGGCUCCAAGAAAAGUUGUCUUUCUUUCGUUGAUCUCUGGGCUGGGGACUGAAUUCCUGAUGUCUGAGUCCUCAAGGUGACUGGGGACUUGGAACCCCUAGGACCUGAACAACCAAGACUUUAAAUAAAUUUUAAAAUGCAAAAA
rnacentral:misc_RNA from 1 species